GACGAACGCUGGCGGCGUGCUUAACACAUGCAAGUCGAACGGAAAGGCCCUGCUUUUUUGGCUUGCUCGAGUGGCGAACGGGUGAGUAACUCGUGCGUAACCUGCCUUUGAUUUUCUGAUAACUUCAGGUAACUGGGGCUAAUUCCUGCUUGGAGCUCCUUCUGCCUGGUGGGGGUUGGAAAGUUUCGGCGGUUGGGGAUGGAGUCUGGGCUUAUCAGCUUGUUGGUGGGGUAGUGGCUUAUCAAGGCCUUGACGGGUAGCCGGCCUGCGAGGGUGACCGGCCAGAGUGGGACUGAGAUACGGCCCAGAAUGCUGCGGGAGGCAGCAGUGGGGAAUAUUGCACAAUGGGCGGAAGCCUGAUGCAGCAACGCAGCGUGCGGGAUGACGGCCUUCGGGUUGUAACCCGCUUUCGCCUGUGACGAAGCGUGAGUGGCGGUAAUGGGUAGAGAAGCACCGGCUAACUACGUG
rnacentral:rRNA from 1 species